rnacentral:tRNA from 1 species
AGGAUCUUAGUUUAAUGACUAAAACAUAGGACUUUUAAGCCUAAUAUACGGCUUGGGAUUCCGUAGAUCCUU